AUUGAACGCUGGCGGCAGGCCUAACACAUGCAAGUCGAACGAGUGGCGGACGGGGGAGUAAUGUCUGGGAAACUGCCCGAUGGAGGGGGAUAACUAAAGGACACGGUAGGCUACACCGCAUGCCAUCGGAUGGGCCCAGAUGGGAUUAGCUAGUAGGUGGGGUAACGGCUCACCUAGGCGACGAUCCCUAGCAGGUCUGAGAGGAUGAACAGCCACACUGGAACUGAGACACGGUCCAGACUCCUACGGACGGCAGCAGUGGGGAAUAUUGCCCAAUGGGCGCAAGCCUGAUGCAGCCAUGCCGCGUGUAUGAAGAAGGCCUUCGGGUUGUAAAGUACUUUCAGCGGGGCGGCGUUACCCGCAGAAGAAGCACCGGCUAACUCCGUGCCAGCAGCCGCGGUAAUAC
rnacentral:rRNA from 1 species